CCUACGGGGGGCAGCAGUGGGGAAUAUUGCACAAUGGGGGAAACCCUGAUGCAGCGACGCCGCGUGAGUGAAUAAGUAUCUCGGUAUGUUAAGCUCUAUCAGCAGGGGAGAAAAUGCCGGUACCUGAUUCAGACGCGCCGGCUAACUACGUGCCAGCAGCCGCGGUAAUACGGAGGGGGCAAGCGUUAUCCGGGUUUACUGGGGGUAAAGGGAGCGUAGACGGCAGCGCAAGUCUGAUGUGAAAUGCCGGGGCUUAAACCCGGAACUGCUUUUGACACUGUGCAGCUAGAGUGCAGGAGAGGUAAGUGGAAUUCGUAGUGUAGCGGUGAAAUGCGUAGAUAUUAGGCGGAACACCAGGGGCGAAGGCGGCUUACUGGACUGUAACUGACGUUGAGGCUCGAAAGCGUGGGGAGCAAACAGGAUUAGAUACCCCAGUAGUC
rnacentral:rRNA from 1 species